GUGGUUGUGGUUCAGUGGUAGAAUGCUUGCCUAGCAUGCAUGAGGCAUUGUGUUCAAUUCCCAGCACCACA
rfam:Ictidomys tridecemlineatus contig123164, whole genome shotgun sequence.